CUGGUGGAGGGACCAGCUGCCAGCAAAUCCCGGGGGCGUGGGCAGCAGUAUAGAGGGGCUGGGUUCCGGGGUCCCAGGUGCGGAAGCGUGGCCAACUGGCAUGAUCCUCGAGCCGGCAGAGUGGGGCGCCGGUGGCCAUCCCGUACUGGGCGAGGAUCGCUGGACUGGCUGCAACUCCAUUCCCCAGGGACAGUAAAGGGGGUUCCUACUGGCUGUGACAGUGCUGUACUGGGGUAGAGAGCUCAACUGCCUGGAGAAACAAGAUCCUUCCUGAACCAGGGGAUUCCAGGGGGACCAAAGCAGCUGUAAAGAUGAAAGAAAUUGAAAAAAGAAAGAAUAAAAAAAGUAUGUCUCUCUCCAGAUUUCCUAAUGCCCAAACCCAGAUACCCCCCUGAUUCCUCCCUCUGAUUCAGGGCCUACGGUUCGAACCUCUGAUUCCCCACUACUUUAUUGUUCCCCUCAAAUCCAGCAAUUCAACUUGGCUCUUGGCUUCCACUGUCUCUCCAUGCAAGAUCAGUGUAAGGUAGGGACUCCCUGCUGGGUGCCAUGAUGGGAGACAUGUCGAGGAGCAACGGCCGUGACAUGUGACAUGCAGGGAGACUUGCAGCGUGCAUGGCUCACCCACCUGUGAAUAAAGGCAUGCCAGACAUCCCAAGGGCUGUGAAUAUUCUUCCACCUGCACGAAUACCAUGAAUUUGCCCAGCCUUGAAUGGUCACAACACAACCAGGCAUUCCAUUACCCUCCAUCACACCACCAAAUUCCUCUCUAGCCAUACCUGGGCCCUGCCAGGAGGGAGAAAGUGGUCCUCUUCCUGUGGAUAGGUUGCCCUCUCCUCCUCCA